rnacentral:lncRNA from 1 species
UGUUCCCCUUCCUGUGUCCAAGUGUUCUCAUUGUUCAAUUCCCACCUAUGAGUGAGAACAUGGCGGUGUUUGGUUUUCUUUCCUUGUGAUAGUUUGCUGAGAAUGAUGGUUUCCAGCUUCAUCCAUGUCCCUACAAAGGACAUGAACUCAUCCUUUUUAUGGCUGCAUCGUAUUCCAUGGUGUAUAUGUGCCACAUUUUCUUAAUCCAGUCUAUCAUUGAUGGACAUUUGAGUUGGUUCAAAGUCUCUGCUAUUGUGAAUAGUGCUGCAAUAAACAUACAUGUGCGCAGCAUGAUUUAUAAUCCUCUGGGUAUAUACCCAGUAAUGGGAUGGCUGGGUCAAAUGGUAUUUCUAGUUCUACAUCCCUGAGGAAUUGCCACACUGACUUCCACAAUGGUUGAACUAGUUUACAGUCCCACCAACAGUGUAAAAGUGUUCCUAUUUCUCCACAUCCUCUCCAGCACCUGUUGUUUCCUGACUUUUUAAUGAUUGUCAUUCUAACUGGUGUGAGAUGGUAUCUCAUUGUGGUUUUGAUUUGCAUUUCUCUGAUAGCCAGUGAUGAUGAGCAUUUUUUCAUGUCUGUUGGCUGCAUAAAUGUCUUCUUUUGAGAAGUGUCUGUUCAUAUCCGGCACCCACUUUCUGAUGGGGUUGUUUGAUUUUUUCUUGUAAAUUUGUUUAAGUUCUUUGUAGAUUCUGGAUAUUAGCCCUUUGUCAGAUGGGUAGAUUGUAAAAAUUUUCUCCCAUUCUGCAGGUUGCCUGUUCACUGUGAUGGUAGUUUCUUUUGCUGUGCAGAAGCUCUUUAGUUAAAUUAGAUCCUAUUUGUCAAUUUUGGCUUUUGUUGCCAUUGCCUUUGGUGUUUUAGUCAUGAAGUCCUUGCCCAUGCCUAUGUCCUCAAUGGUAUUGCCUACGUUUUCUUCUAGGGUUUUUAUGGUUUUAGGUCUAACAUUUAAGUCUUUAAUCCAUCUUGAAUUAAUUUUUGUAUAAGGUGUAAGGAAGGGACCCAUUUUCAGCUUUCUACAUAUGGCUAGCCAGUUUUCCUGGCACCAUUUAUUAAAUAGGGAAUCCUUUCUCCAUUUCUUGUUUUUGUCAGGAUUGUCAAAAUCAGAUGGUUGUAGAUGUGUGGUAUUAUUUCUGAGGGCUCUGUCCUGUUCCAUUGGUCUGUAUCUCUGUUUUGGUACCAGUACCAUGCUGUUUUGGUUACUGUAGCCUUGUAGUAUAGUUUGAAGUAGGUAGUGUGAUGCCUCCAGCUUUGUUCUUUGGCUUAGGAUUGUCUUGGCAAUGCGGGCUCUUUUUUGGUUCCGUAUGAGCUUUAAAGUAGUUUUUUCCAAUUCUGUGAAGAAAGGCAUUGGUAGCUUGAUGGGAAUGGCAUUGAAUCUAUAAAUUACCUUGGGCAGUAUGGCCGUUUUCACAAUAUUGAUUCUUCCUAUCCAUGAGCAUGGAAUAUUCUUCCAUUUGUUUGUGACCUCUUUUGUUGAGCAGUGAUUUGCAGUUCUCCUUGAAGAGGUCCUUCACAUCCCUUGUAAGUUGGAUUCCUAGGUAUUUUAUUCUCUUUGUAGCAAUUGUGAAUGGGAGUUCACUCAUGAUUUGGCUCUCUGUCUGUUAUUGGUGUAGAGGAAUGCUUGUGAUUUUUGCACAUUGAUUUUGUAUCCUGAGACUUUGCUGAAGUUGCCUAUCAGCUUAAGGAGAUUUUGGGCUGAGACAAUGGGGUUUUCUAAAUAUACAAUCAUGUCAUCUGCAAACAGGGACAAUUUGACUUCCUCUUUUCCUAACUGAAUACCCUUUAUUUCUUUCUCUCGCCUGAUUGCCCCGGCCAGAACUUCCAACAUUAUGAUGAAUAGAAGUAGUGACAGAGGGCAUCCCUGCUUGUGCCAGCUUUCAAAGGGAAUACUUCCAGUUUUUGCCCAUUCAGUAUGAUACUGGCUGUGGGUUUGUCAUAGAUAGCUCUUAUUAUUUUGAGAUAGGUCCCAUCAAUACCUAAUUUAUUGAGAGUUUUUAUUUAGCAUGAAGUGUUGUUGAAUUUUGUCAAAGGCCUUUUCUGCAUCUAUUGAGAUAAUCAUGUGGUUUUUGUCUUUGGUUCUGUUUAUAUGCUGGAUUACGUUUAUUGAUUUUCGUAUGUUGAACCAGCCUUGCAUCCCAGGGAUGAAGCCCACUUGAUCAUGGUGGAUAAGCUUUUUGCUGUGCUGCUGGAUUCAGUUUGCCAGUAUUUUACUGAGGAUUUUUGCAUCAAUGUUCAUCAAGGGUAUUGGUCUAAAAUUCUCAUUUUUUGUUGUGUCUCUGCCAGGCUUUAGUAUCAGGAUGAUGCUGGCCUCAUAAAAAGAGUUAGGGAGGAUUCCCUCUUUUUCUAUUGAUUGGAAUAGUUUGAGAACGAAUGAUACCAGCUCCUCUUUGUACCUCUGGUAGAAUUUGGCUGUGAAUCCAUCUGGUCCUGGACCCUUUUUGGUUGGUAAGCUAUUAAUUAUUGCCUCAAUUUCAGAGCCUGUUAUUGGUGUAUUCAGAGAUUCAACUUCUUCCUGGUUUAGUCUUUGGAGGGUGUAUGUGUGCAGGAAUUUAUCCAUUUCUUCUAGAUUUUCUAGUUUAUUUGUGUAGAGGUGUUUAUAGUAUUCUCUGAUGGCAGUUUGUAUUUUUGUGGGAUCGGUGGUGAUAUCCCCUUUAUCAUUUUUUAUUGCAUCUAUUUGAUUCUUCUCUCUUUUCUUCUUUAUUAGUCUUGCUAGCAGUCUGUCAAUUUUGUUGAUCGUUUCAAAAACCCAGCUCCUGGAUUGAUUGUUUUUGAAGGGUUUUUUAUGUCUCUAUCUCCUUCAGUUCUGCUCUGAUCUUAGUUAUUUCUUGUCUUCUGCUAGCUUUUGAAUUUGUUUGCUCUUGCUUCUCUAGUACUUUUAAUUGUGAUAUUAGGGUGUCAAUUUUAGAUCUUUCCUGCUUUCUCUUGUGGGCAUUUAGUGCUAUAAAUUUCCCUCUACACACUGCUUUAAAUGUGUCGCAGAUAUUCUGUUAUGUUGUGUCUUUGUUCUCAUUGGUUUCAAAGAACAUCUUUAUUUCUGCAUUCAUUUUGUUAUGUACCCAGUAGUCAUUCAGGAGCCGGUUGUUCAGUUCCCAUGUAGUUGAGCGGUUUUGAGUGAGUUUCUUAAUCCUGAGUUCUAAUUUGAUUGCACUGUGGUCUGAGAGACAGUAUCUUGUGAUUUCUGUUCUUUUACAUUUGCUGAGGAGUGUUUUACUUCCAAUUAUGUGGUCAAUUUUGGAAUAAGUGUGAUGUGGUGUUGAGAAGAAUGUAUAUUCUGUCGAUUUGGGGUGGAGAGUUCAGUAGAUGUCUGUUAGGUCUGCUUGGUGCAGAGCUGAGUUCAAGUCCCAGAUAUCCUUGUUAACCUUCUGUCUCAUUGAUCUGUCUAAUAUUGACAGUGGGUGUUAAAGUCUCCCAUUAUUUAAAAAAAAAAAAACUGUUGACAAAGGUGUGAGAAAACUGGUUCUCUCUUACCUUGCUGGCAAGAAUGUAAAUUGGUUCAACCUUUACAGAGGAAAUUUGGCAGCAUCUACCAAAAUGAAAAAUUACAUUCCUUGUAUAAAUGUGUGAUAAGUGAUAAAUUACACUCUUUGAUCUAGCAAUUAAUCUACUCCUAGGAUACAUCUAAGAUAUACAAAUACCCUUGUACAUAUUCCGGUCAUACAUGGUAAUUCAUUAAAGGGUUGUUGAUAACAGCAAAAGAUUGAAACAAGAACUAUCCAUUAGUAAGGGGCUGGUUAAUUACAUUUUGAUAUACACAUAAG